GCCUGCACGAAGUCGGAAUUGCUAGUAAUCGUAGGUCAGCAUACUACGGUGAAUACGUUCCCGGGCCUUGUACACACCGCCCGUCAAACCAUGAGAGUUGGCAACACCCGAAGUCGGUAGUCUAACCGCAAGGAGGACGCCGCCGAAGGUGGGGUUGAUGAUUAGGGUUAAGUCGUAACAAGGUACC
rnacentral:rRNA from 1 species